rnacentral:rRNA from 1 species
AUUGAACGCUGGCGGCAUGCUUUACACAUGCAAGUCGAACGGCAGCGCGGGCUUCGGCCUGGCGGCGAGUGGCGAACGGGUGAGUAAUGCAUCGGAACGUUCCCCUUAGUUGUGGAUAGCCCGGCGAAAGCCGGAUUAAUACCGCAUACGACCUGCGUGUGAAAGCGGGGGACCGAAAGACCUCGCGCUAUUGGAGCGGCCGAUGUCGGAUUAGCUCGUUGGUGGGGUAAAGGCUUACCAAGGCGCCGAUCCGUAGCUGGUCUGAGAGGACGAACAGGCACACGGGGACUGAGACACGGCACAGACUCCUACGGGAGGCAGCAGUGGGGAAGGUUGGAAAAUGGGGGCAACACUGAUCAAGCCAUGCCGCGUGCGGGAAGAAGGGCUGCGGGUUGUAAACCGCUUUUGUUCGGGAAGAAAUCCUCUGGGCUAAUACACCGGGGGGAUGACGGUACCGGAAGAAUAAGCACCGGCUAACUACGUG